AUGAGAUCUGGCAAGCUAUCAAGCGCUUGCCGUCGCGCAAGGCACCCGGCCUCGACUGAUUCACCGCGGAAUUCCUCCGUUCCAGCUGGCAUCAUCAAGCAGGACCUCCUGAACGUCUUUGAGCAAGUAUACGCGCUCCGCGGGCGAGGCUUCAGCUGCCUUAACCAGGCGCUAAUCACGCUUCUCCCUAAGCGCGUUGAUGCUAGCAGCCUUGGCGACUACAGGGCCACAAGUCUCAUCCAUCUUGUCGCCAAGAUCCUCGCCAAACUGCUGUCACUCCACCUUGCGCCCAAGCUCAAUAGCCUCGUUAGCAACGUCCAGAAUGCCUUUAUUCCCGGACGAAGCCUUCAUGACAAUUUCAUCUUGGCGCGUCAGUCCGCUCGACUCCUGCACCAACUUGGUGCCCCACGCGUGCUACUCAAGCUCUACUUGGCGCGCGCCUUCGACUCCGUCUCGUGGUCGUUCCUGUUCGACGUACUGCGGUGCCACGGCUUCGGCAACCACUUCCUCGACUGGAUCGCCCUUCUGUUGUCGCCGACCAGCACCAAGAUUCUCCUAAACGGCGCCCUAGGACCUGCGAUCUGGCACAAAUGUGGGCUGUGUCAAGGCGACCCCGUGUCCCCACAACUCUUCGUCUUGGCUGUCGACACAUUGGGCAGGCUCUUCCACCGCACCAUCGAGCUUCGCGUCAUGCAACAGCUCCACCCUCGCCGCGCCAUACCAGCCAUCUCCUAUACGCAGAUGAUGUAA
rnacentral:rRNA from 1 species